CAACGUUUAUAUCCAGAACCUGGACUACAUCCUGGACAGCAAGGGGGUCCAUUUAACCAAUGAGGAGCUGCAAGAGGUGCUGAAACAUUUGACCGUUGAUGCUGACGGAAAGGUGAAUAUGGGUAAAUUUAUGAAGGAGGUGAAAAAUGUCCAGAAAUUGUCCCUGGAAGGAGACCAAGUGCGGUCUCCAUCGCCAGAGGACAAAGUGGAUGUGGGGAACCUGGACUCUGUGCUGGCCAACAUGGGGAUCCGUUUAACCCAGGAGGAGAUGCAGGAGGCGCUGAAGCACAGCCCGGUUGACAG